AUUCAGAGGAGUGAACAAAGCAGAAGAAAAAGGUGAGUCAUUUCCGUUCCUCCUCCUACCACCAGCACCAGGUCUCUGUUUCUCCAGUCUCCCCACCGUCCUCCCUCAUCCCAAAUCGAACCGCCUCCCCGUCGCAUCGAUCCCAAUCUGACCAUCCCCAAAACCCUAACCCUCACUCGCCUCCUAGCACGGCGGCGAGUCACGGCGGCGGAGGCGUGAGAUGGCCGCGCGGGCGUAAGCAUUUCGGAGGCGAUCGCGGAGGUGGGGGCUUCCUGUGACCCGCCAGCGGUCUCGCUGGUGCCGGCCCGUGCCCGUGGGUAUGGCGACGUCGUCGUCGGCUGGCGGGGGCGGUGCCGCCGGGGGCGCGCCUGGACUCAAGACUUACUUCAAGACUCCCGAGGGCCGGCAUAAGCUGCAGUACGAGAAGACCCACUCCCCCUCCGUGCUGCACUACAACCACAGCUCUGGUGGCAAGACUGUCUCCGAGAUGACAGUGGCAUAUUUGAAGGAGAAACCGGUGGGGCAGGGCUCUACACCGUCAACACCAAGUUCCAGCAGUGGCAUGCGAUCUGCAGCUGCAAGACUGCUUGGUACCGGGAAUGGGAGCCGGACACUUAGCUUUGCAGGCAGCAACGGUGUCAGCAGGGCUGUUUCAGGGAGCAGCCGUGUGGGUGGCGGCGUUGGUACGUCAACAGGCGUUGGUGGAUCUCAAGCCGUGGCGAAUUACGAUGGCAAGGGAACAUACAUCAUCUUCAAUACCGCAGAUACACUGUUCAUUAGUGAUCUCAACUCACAUGACAAAGAUCCAGUAAAGUCCAUCCACUUCAGCAACUCAAACCCAGUUUGUCAUGCAUUUGACUCGGAGGCCAAAGAUGGGCAUGACGUGAUUGUUGGAUUAUGGUCAGGAGAUGUCUAUUCAAUGUCAUUGAGGCAACAGUUGCAAGAUCCUGGAAAGAAGCCUGUUAUGUCUCAGCAUUUUAUCAAUAAAGACAAAGAUGGAACUGCCAACAGCCGCUGUACUUGUGUUGCAUGGGUUCCAGAGCGUGAAGGCAUUUUUGUUGUCAGCAAUGCUGAUGGGAAUCUGUAUGUGUAUGACAAAUCCAAGGAUGGAAGUGCUGACUGGGCAUUUCCAACUGUAAGGGAUCAAAAUCAGCUGGUGAUUUCACAUGCAAAGUCCAAUAAGAGCAAUCCUACUGCAAGAUGGCACAUCUGUCAAGGUGCAAUCAAUGCCAUUUCAUUUUCGCCGGAUGGAGCUUACAUGGCAACUGUUGGGCGAGAUGGUUAUUUAAGAGUAUUUGACUUCGCGAAAGAACAACUAAUAUUUGGUGGGAAAAGUUACUAUGGUGCUCUUUUGUGUUGCUCAUGGAGUGCGGAUGGAAAAUAUAUAUUAUCAGGUGGGGAAGAUGAUCUUGUGCAAGUAUGGAGCAUGGAUGACAGAAAGAUGGUUGCGUGGGGCGAGGGGCAUACAUCAUGGGUUAGCUCAGUUGCCUUUGAUUCGUAUUGGUCCCCUCCAAGUUCUGAUGACGCAGGAGAAAAUGCCAUGUAUCGCUUUGGUUCUGUUGGCCAGGAUACCCAACUUCUUCUCUGGGAUUUGGCAAUGGAUGAGAUUGCUGUGCCACUUCGACAUCCUUCCAGCGGCUCCCCAACAUUUAGCAGUGGAAGCCCUUCUGCACACUGGGACAGUGCAUGUCCUCCUCCUACUGGUGUUCUUCAGCCGUCUCCACGGAUGCGAGACGUACCAAAGCUCUCACCCCUCGUUGCACACAGAGUACAUGCUGAUCCCCUUUCUGGCCUAGAAUUCACCAGUGAAUCGAUCGUCACCAUAUGCCGUGAGGGGCUAAUCAAAAUCUGGGCCAGGCCACAACACAGUGAAAACAGCCAGCGGCCAAAUUCUUCUGAGCUGGCAGCUGGCAAUGCCAUCUCCAAGGAUAAGAUGAUAACAUCACCAAACAAAGCAGGCACUUCCAGCUCUAGCUUCAAGCAACCAUCAUCUGUUAUUUUCUCAUGACCAAAGGCUUCUGCUUGCAUUUUUAUCAUGCUUGCUCAGCCAUGGCUACUCAUAUCUUGUCACUAACGUGGCGAUUAGUGACGCAGGGCUUCGCUGGGAAGUCUGCCAGCGACAGAGGCGUGCUUCAUAGAUGUCUAUGUGACAAAAGAAUAACGGAACUUGUUCCUGUACAGAUACAGAUAUUGCCCCCAGAUGAAUAGUACAAGUUUACUGGUUGUUGUUCCAUAUCAUUUGUCUGGUCUUCCAUAACAUCUCAAUAGAUUAGAGUAUGUACCCAUUCUUUGCAUAUUAAUGGUAUCUUCACUUAUUAGGCGCUCUGGAGGUUACAGAUCAGAUUCCAUUUGCCCCCCAUAACGUUGCUUUCCUGCUUGUGUUAUCAAUGGAACUGUAAAUUACUGUUGUUGUUUAUACAAUGUUUCUGAAUCCCCUUGGGUAUUGUAUUCCAUUUCUUCUUCUUUUGAGUGUUGAUUUGUCACUUGAAUGUACUCUUAUGAGAAACAAAAUGCUUGAGUUGUCCCACACAAGUUUGAGGCAAGUUGAUGUUAAG
rnacentral:rRNA from 1 species